UGCUUGGGUUCCCUAUUUAUUAUCUUAGGGUUUAGUAUUAUGUAAUUGAAAACAAUUUUAAAUUGGUUGCUUGUGUUCCCUAUUCUCAUAUUGACAGUAAUCCCUAUCUAGUUUCCUCUUAAAUUCAUGUUUUUCUUUCAAAUUUCAGUGUUUUCUAUCCGUUGUAUGUUUUGGAUUUUUCUCAAAAAAAAUCUAUAAAAUUGGUUGCUUGCGUUCCCUAUAUAUUAUCUUAGGGUUUAGUAUUAUGUAAUUGAAAACAAUUUUAAAUUGGUUGCUUGGUUUCUCUAUUUUCAUAUUGACAAUAAUCCCUAUCGAGUUUCUUCUUAAAUUCAUGUUUUUUUUUUCAAAUUUCCAGAGGAGAAGUUAAUGGUGACUCGCUGGGGAGUGCAUCAUGUUGUCCUCCUUUGUUAUACUUAUAAGAAACAUGUUGUUUCUACACUUUCUUUCACCCUUUACCCAAAUGCAACAUUGGAACCAGUAUAUAAUACUGUCGCCGCAUUUAAUGUAGUAAACACGUAUCUAAUAUUUUCCAACAGACUGUUCAUUUUGUCAAA